rnacentral:rRNA from 1 species
GGAUAAGCACUGGAAACGGUGUUAAUACCGGAUACGAGUUCAGCCGCAUGGCUAGGAGCUGGAAAGAUUUCGGUCAACGAUGCACUCGGGCCUAUCAGCUAGAUGGUGAGGUAACGGCCCACAAGGGACGACCGGUAGCCGGCUGAGAGGGUGACCGGCCACACUGGACUGAGACACGGCCCAGACUCCUACGGGAGGCAGCAGUGGGGAAUAUUGCACAAUGGGCGCAAGCCUGAUGCAGCAACGCCGCGUGAGGGACGACGGCCUUCGGGUUGUAAACCUCUUUUAGUAGGGAAGAAGCGAAAGUGACGGUACCUGCAGAAAAAGCACCGGCUAACUACGUGCCAGCAGCCGCGGUAAUACGUAGGGUGCAAGCGUUAUCCGGAAUUAUUGGGCGUAAAGAGCUCGUAGGCGGUUUGUCGCGUCUGCUGUGAAAACUGGAGGCUCAACCUCCAGCCUGCAGUGGGUACGGGCAGACUAGAGUGCGGUAGGGGAGAUUGGAAUUCCUGGUGUAGCGGUGGAAUGCGCAGAUAUCAGGAGGAACACCGAUGGCGAAGGCAGAUCUCUGGGCCGUAACUGACGCUGAGGAGCGAAAGCAUGGGGAGCGAACAGGAUUAGAUACCCUGGUAGUCCAUGCCGUAAACGUUGGGAACUAGAUGUAGGGACCAUUCCACGGUUUCUGUGUCGCAGCUAACGCAUUAAGUUCCCCGCCUGGGGAGUACGGCCGCAAGGCUAAAACUCAAAGGAAUUGACGGGGGCCCGCACAAGCGGCGGAGCAUGCGGAUUAAUUCGAUGCAACGCGAAGAACCUUACCAAGGCUUGACAUAUACCGGAAAAGUUCAGAAAUGUUCUCCCCGCAAGGUCGGUAUACAGGUGGUGCAUGGCUGUCGUCAGCUCGUGUCGUGAGAUGUGGGGUUAAGUCCCGCAACGAGCGCAACCCUCGUUCUAUGUUGCCAGCACGUAUGGUGGGACUCAUAGAGACUGCGGGUCACUCGAGAGGUGGGAUGACGUCAAUCAUCAUGCCCUUAUGUCUGGCCUCACGCAUGCUACAUGCCGAUCAAGGCCUGCAUACCGCAGGUGAAGCGAAUCCCAAAAAGUCGGUCUCAGUUCAGAUUGGGGUCUGCAACUCGACCCCAUGAAGUCGGAGUCGCUAGUAAUCGCAGAUCAGCAACGC